rnacentral:siRNA from 1 species
CUUCCAAUAGGAGGUUCUCUGCUC